GACGAACGCUGGCGGCGUGCUUAACACAUGCAAGUCGAACGGAAAGGCCCUGCUUUUGUGGGGUGCUCGAGUGGCGAACGGGUGAGUAACACGUGAGUAACCUGCCCUUGACUUUGGGAUAACUUCAGGAAACUGGGGCUAAUACCGGAUAGGAGCCCCUGCUGCAUGGUGGGGGUUGGAAAGUUUCGGCGGUUGGGGAUAGACUCGCGGCUUAUCAGCUUGUUGGUGGGGUAGUGGCUUACCAAGGCUUUGACGGGUAGCCGGCCUGAGAGGGUGACCGGCCACAUUGGGACUGAGAUACGGCCCAGACUCCUACGGGAGGCAGCAGUGGGGAAUAUUGCACAAUGGGCGGAAGCCUGAUGCAGCAACGCCGCGUGCGGGAUGACGGCCUUCGGGUUGUAAACCGCUUUCGCCUGUGACGAAGCGUGAGUGACGGUAAUGGGUAAAGAAGCACCGGCUAACUACGUG
rnacentral:rRNA from 1 species